rnacentral:lncRNA from 1 species
AGAGAUAAACCCCAAAUCAUUUGUUAUUUCGAACUGGGCCUAAUAAUGGGCCCAGUAUGACAAGCUUGAUUGAACAAGUUUCAGUAGAUCCACACCAGUUACAUACCCUCAAACAAUAUGGGUUAAACGAUUAGCAGGCCCAAUUAAUUCUAAGAGGUCAUAACCCAAAUGUUCAGCUAUUAACCUAACUGAUUUUGCUAAUUACAACAAUUAGGUGAACCGAGUUAUUACAGGCUUUUCAAAUUAGCUAUACACAGAAUCAAUAAAUUACAAAGCGAUCUUCAAAUUUUAAACUAUGGGAAUUAAAAUAGAGUCAACUAUUAUACACAUGGACACUUCACGCCUAUAAAACUUUGAGUCAGGCCUGGUACAGGCCAAACUCCCAAACUUCAACAUUAGCUAAUGUUUCAUCUUCUAGUUACAAAUCUAAUAGUAAAUCAGUGAAACUCCACAUACGAUAUCAAAACACACCAAUGGCAAUUUCAGCCCUAGAUUAUUCAUACAAGUCACGAGAUCAAAUCUCAUACUCAUCCUCUCAGUAGUUACUUAGGUUUACAAUAUGCUUUAGACAUUAGCUACAUCAGACAAUUCAAACUCAAUUCGAAUUUGUAAUUAGACGUGAAGGAAUAUCUAAGGAACACAUAAAUGAAUAAAUUGAGGCAGAUUUUAUAACGUCAUGGCAUCCACAUUGGCAAGUACAUGAUCUGAGACUGAAAGAAGUACCUGGAUAGUAAUAAACCAGGCUACAAUUAGCCCAAUAAAAGCGAGAGAUAAAAGGACAGGACUCAACUAAGCAGAACACAACACAACUUCAAAUAUGGACUAAAAACUACAUGAAAAUCUAGGAAAAUAGUAUAGAAGACCUUCUUGAAUCAAUCAAUAGCAGUUAAUCAUUUUUGAGUAUGAAAAUCAGCCUAAACUUUUAUUGUUUUUGUGUUUUUCCUCUCAGUUUUUAAAGCUGGAAAUUUCAAAUCUCAGAAAGGGAAUUUUGAAUUUCAAAACCUGUUUUCAUCUCUCUUUGGUAAGAAGUGCGUGAGUGAGAAUGUAUGAGAGUGAAUGGGUGUGAAUAUCAUAGUGAAUGUGAGCAGUCUGUUAUAUAGAAUAAAUUUCAGCAUCUUUUAGUUUGCUCCCUUUUCUUUUACCCCUCCUAAUUUCUGCUAUUUUUCUCCCUCACCCCCGACCUCUCCAGCUUUUUAUUGCUAACAGGUCCUUUUUACUCUCUUCUAGAAGCUUCUCCACCGAUUAAGCUAAAAAUUACUUCAAGUAAUUCCCUAAUUUUAUCUUUUUAUCCUUAUAUUUACCUCUGACUAACAGGCUCAUACCUAAACUCCCACUUAACUGGCCGGCCUGUUAAAAAAUGGCAGGCCAAUUCUUUUGCCCAAAUGAACUAGAACAGAUCAAUAAUCUACUGCAAACAAACAAUCUCAUAUGCAAUCAAAACUUAAUUAAUUAUAAAGCAAUUGACCAAAUAUGCAACUAAACUAAAAUCAAACAACUAAUCACCAAUUAAUCCAAACUAUUAAUUAAACCUACUUAAAUAUAAAUGUCAAUAUGUGGUCAUUAGACAAAAUUAGAGAAAAUGGAAAAAGUAGUAUACCAGUCAACAUAAACAAAUCCGGUGAGUGAGUUGAAAUCCAAUGGUGAAAAGACUCCGGCGAGCAAUGGAGAAGAGUGAAUUCUGGCCGGUCAACGAGAUUUGACCGAUCUCUGGUGACCUGGAAGUGAGCUAAAACUAACGCCAAUCAAUUGCUCUCGUCAAGAGCAAUCGAUCAACGUAAGUUUCAAGUCAAAACGAAUUAAAAAAGGCUGAGAAAUUGAAAAAGGGACAAAUUUGGUUUUAAUACCUAGAUCUACUAAUCGUGGAAUUUGGGUGGAAUUUGAGAGAAACGAGUAGUGGAUUUAGACAGAUGAAGGGCUAGGGAUUGUAGGGUGACAAUUUGGGGUGGUUUGGAGUGGUACCGCCGCCGUGGACGAUUUUUGGCGGGCAGCGAGCGGUGGACAACAGUGAGGGUGAGGAGGAGUCUGAGCGGGGUCUCUUGGGGUGGGGUAGGCUAUUUAGGAUACUUUUAUGGGAACAAAAGGCUAGUUCCAGGCCAUUGGAUCUUGUUU